UACGUAGGGGGCAAGCGUUGUCCGGAAUUACUGGGCGUAAAGCGCACGUAGGCGGCUUUGUAAGUUAGAGGUGAAAGCCCGAAGCUCAACUUCGGAAUUGCCUUUAAGACUGCAUCGCUAGAAUCAUGGAGAGGUUAGUGGAAUUCCGAGUGUAGAGGUGAAAUUCGUAGAUAUUCGGAAGAACACCAGUGGCGAAGGCGACUAACUGGACAUGUAUUGACGCUGAGGUGCGAAAGCGUGGGGAGCAAACAGG
rnacentral:rRNA from 1 species